ACAUGGUAAGUAUACCGGAAGGUGUGCUGGAAACAAACUGUAGCUUAAUCAAAGCCAUUCGCUUACACCGAAAAUAUGUCUGUUAAACCCGGACCACUUUGAGCCAAAAACCUAACCCGGAUAAUUUAUAUUUAAUAAACUUUUUACCCUCUACCCAUUAAAACAUUUCACAGUUAUAGUAAAGGCGAUCGAAACAUCUUUUGGAGUUAUAUUUCUAGUACCGCAAGGGAACAGUGAAAUAAAAGUGAAACAACUAUCAAGCACCAAAUAGUAGAGACUCCCCUCGUACCUUUUGCAUCAUGGUUUAACUAGUCUAAUCAAGCAAAAAGCACUAAAGUUUGCCCCCCCGAAACUAAGCGAGCUACUUCAAGGCAGCUUCAAGAGCCAACCCGUCUCUGUUGCAAAAGAGUGGGAAGACCUUCAAGUAGAGGUGAUAGACCUAACGAGCUUAGUGAUAGCUGGUUACUUAAGAAAAGGAUCUCAGUCCAGCCCAAUUUUUUUGUAAUUCACCUAAAUGAAAAUUAAAAUUUGGAGAAAUUCAAAUAAGGUACAGCCUAUUUGAACAAGGACACAACCUCCACAAAUGGGUAAUUAAAUUUGUUCGUAAUAAAGUAGGCCUAAAAGCAGCCAUCUUCAAAAGCGUCACAAAGCUUAUCUACAAAUUAAUUGAAUCCCCCUAAUAACUAAAAACCCUUAAUCAAUAUUAAGUAAUUCUAUAAAAUUAUAGAACCUAUUAUGUUAAAACUAGUAACAAGAAUCAGAACUUCUCCCUAAUGUAAGUGUAAAUCAGAUCGGACAAACCACUGAUUCUUAACAUCUUGAGACUAAAGUAAUAACCAAUCGAGAAAAUUUUACCUCACAUAAUGUUAACCUAACACAAGAACAUUCCUAGACAGAUUAAAAGGAAAAGAAGGAACUCGGCAAAUAUUAACCCCGCCUGUUUACCAAAAACAUCGCCUCUUGAUACAUAUAAGAGGUCCAGCCUGCCCAGUGACUUUGUUCAACGGCCGCGGUAUCCUAACCGUGCGAAGGUAGCGUAAUCACUUGUUCUUUAAAUAAGGACUAGUAUGAAUGGCAUUACGAAGUUAUACUGUCUCCUUUUC
rnacentral:rRNA from 1 species